UUAUCAAAUUGUAUAGUUGAUUAUAUGAUAAUUAGGGUAGAAGUUUCUCUUUAGAAAAAGGAAGAAAAUAAGAAAAGGGAGAUUGCAGAGCAGCCUCGAAGAGGGACGGCAAUUUCAGAUUGGAAGGGUUCGGAGGCAUCGAGGAAAGGAAAAGCAUUGAAGGACUAGUUUCUUGACUUCGAUUCUUCGGUGGAGCGAGUGUACCUAUGACGUCAGAUUUCCCUAUGCUUUAGCCAGCCUCCCGCAUAUCAAGUUCCACGGUGAGCUAUUCAUUCAUUCUCGUGUUGGAUUCUUUCGGUCAUGACAUGAUGUCCUAUACUUUCGGACACAUACCAUUUUAUUCAUUUAUUUUAGUGUCUUUGAUACUCUUAGACUUCGUAAUUAGAGAUUAGAUGUCCUUGUUGUGAUGACUUUCAGGUUUUCGAAAAUGAUAGUUAAUAAAUUUUGGAGCUUCCACAAUAUUUUGUUUCUCACAGUUGAAUUAUUGGUACAGGUUGGAAUUUGAAUUUCUUGGUUCGUCCACCUAGGUAGUUAAGUGUGGAUGCCACUCACGACUCGUGUUGGGUCGUGACAUUAUUUCUCCUAUAAUUAUUUCUUUUUCCGUUGUUUCUUCAUUUAUGUUUACUAUCUCACUAGGUA